UCUUUGCUAGUAUAUCGGAUAGUACAGCCGCCUGUCAUGCUUGAAUCGAGUGGCGGUGCGCGGCAGAGCUGGGUUCGACUCCCAGGCAGAGAG